UCCCCGGAGCUGAAAGAGCGCAAGGAGGAUGCGAAAGGCAUGGAAGACGAAGGGCAGACGAAAAUCAAGCAGCGGAGGAGCAGGACGAAUUUCACCCUGGAGCAGCUGAACGAGCUGGAAAGGCUUUUCGACGAGACCCACUACCCGGACGCCUUCAUGCGGGAGGAGCUGAGCCAGCGGCUGGGGCUGUCCGAAGCCCGGGUGCAGGUAGCGCCGGGCGGCCGCGGGUCGGGGGGGGGGAACCGCUCGGUGCCAUCCGCGGGGCUCUCCCCGCAGCCGCUGCCCCUUCGGCGCUGCGCUCCGCUCCCGGGGGUGCCGUGGGUCGGUUCGUCGCCGCGGAGAGAGCGUAACCCAACGGGGAUCCGCGCGGUGCGGAUGUUGGCGGUCGUGGGUCUUAAAUCUGGAGGGAAGCGGCGAGAAAGCGAGGAGCGCGGGCCGGCUUUGUUCGGUACGAAAGUCUGGGAUCCGAGCGGAGAGCCGAGAAGCCGCAGCUUCCUUC
rnacentral:lncRNA from 1 species